GGGAGCCAGGACUCCUGGGUUCUCUCCCUGGCUCUGGAGGAGAGUGGGAGCUGGGGGGUUAGAGCAGGGGGGCUGGGAGCCAGGACUCCUGGGUUCUCUCCCUGGCUCUGGGAGGGGAUGGGGGCUGGUGGGUUAGAGCAGGGGGGGCUGGGAGCCAGGACUCCUGGGUUCUCUCCCCGGCACUGGGAGGGGAUAGAGGCUGGUGGGUUAGAGCAGGGGGGGCUGGGAGCCAGGACUCCUGGGUUCUCUCCCCGGCUCUGGGAGGGGAUUUGG